rnacentral:rRNA from 1 species
CCUACGGGAGGCAGCAGUGGGGAAUAUUGGGCAAUGGGCGCAAGCCUGACCCAGCAACGCCGCGUGAAGGAAGAAGGCUUUCGGGUUGUAAACUUCUUUUCUCAGGGACGAAGCAAGUGACGGUACCUGAGGAAUAAGCCACGGCUCACUACGUGCCAGCAGCUGCGGUAAUACGGAGGGGGCAAGCGUUAUCCGGAUUUACUGGGGGUAAAGGGCGUGUAGGCGGGACGGCAAGUCAGAUGUGAAAACCACGGGCUCAACCUGUGGCCUGCAUUUGAAACUGUAGUUCUUGAGUACUGGAGAGGCAGACGGAAUUCCUAGUGUAGCGGUGAAAUGCGUAGAUAUUAGGAGGAACACCAGUGGCGAAGGCGGUCUGCUGGACAGCAACUGACGCUGAGGCGCGAAAGCGUGGGGAGCAAACAGGAUUAGAUACCCUUGUAGUC